AUUGAACGCUGGCGGCAGGCCUAACACAUGCAAGUCGAACGAGUGGCGGACGGGUGAGUAAUGUCUGGGAACCUGCCUGAUGGAGGGGGAUAACCACUGGAAACGGUAGCUAAUACCGCAUACCAUCAGAUCUGCCCAUAUGGGAUUAGCUAGUUGGUGGGGUAACGGCUCACCAGGGCGACGAUCCCUAGCUGGUCUGAGAGGAUGACCAGCCACACUGGAACGGAGACACGGGCCAGACUCCUACGGGAGGCAGCAGUGGGGAAUAUUGGACAAUGGGCGCAAGCCGGAUGCAGCCAUGCCGCGUGUAGGAAGAAGGCCUUCGGGUUGUAAAGUACUUUCGGCGGGGAAGCGUUACCCGCAGAAGAAGCACCGGCUAACUCCGUGCCAGCAGCCGCGGUAAUUC
rnacentral:rRNA from 1 species